GGGCUAUCCUGUGUUUCCUUUAUGCCUUAUGCAUUUAAGCUAUUUUUUUCUGAAUGUACAAACCUUGCACUUCCUUCAUCAAUAUCACCAGGGCUCUUCUAUUAGAUCUGAUCUUAUUAGAUCAAAAUUUAAAUAUAGGAUAGAAAACCUAGUAUUUCUAGCAAGCUCUAGAAAUGCCGAUCAUCCCAUAUGAACAUUAAUGAUUGAUACUAUUUUUUUGGCCAUGCCUGUGGUGUGUGGAAGUUCCCUGGUCAGGGAUCAAAGCUACAGCAGCGACCAGAGCUAUGGCAAUGACAACACUGGAUCCUUAACCCACUCUGCCACAAGGGAACUCCCAAUGAUUGAGACUAUUGCUUUAAGAAAAUAUUUUGCAAAUAUAAAUGAUUAAGGAAAGGGCUGGAAGAAUAAGAAAUAGAGUGGCCAAACUACUCCUGAAGAAAGAGUUUUAACUAAAGAAACACCCCCCCCGCCCCCAUCACUGAGGAGGCAGCUACAUGCCUGACAGCAGCUUUGCUCGCCCCAUACCACCCUUCUUGUAAUGUUAUAGCAACUAUGUACCUUAUGUCCUUGCUAGCAGCCCUGCUAACCCUGCUCCAAGCAUUGUUUAUCAGUUUCACUUUUGUAAUCUUAUUUGCUCAGCUUCUUAGGCAGGAACUCUGCCUCUCGGGAAGGGGGAGGGCUGGGUCUGCUUGCAUAGGAAAACCUUGAGACCAGGAAGUCUGCGUUGUAUAAAAGCUAUCCAGAACAAAGACCUCGUGCUCAGACUCUGGAGGCAGCUCCUCUGAGCCCGCACUGGUGCCAAAUAAACCUGGCUAUUCCACAUCUCUGAGUACCGCUUAUCUCUUUCUGCUGCCACGGUUUCUGCAACACUCCCAGUAAUUCAUGUUGAUGGAUUGAACUAAGCGAAUUUCCAAGAUUGUAAAUUGCAGACUGUGGAGAUGACAGGAGCAGGAGUCCUUCUGUGGAGGUUGGGGUAGGAGCUAAUUAAAUAGAGGGGAGAUAGAGAAUGGGACCCUAGGAAGUCAUUCCUCCUUUCUGUGCUUGUAAAGAUAGGCUUGGGCAGAACAAAAGAGAAAAAGGUAAAAAGGGAAGAGAGCAAGACAGUUUGUGGUGUCUCACAGGGAGGAAAAACAGAUUUCAGUUUACCUAAAAAACCAAAGCCUUUCCUUGCUUUCCUUCCAGAUCACUCUCCUCCCACCCGCUGCCUCCCUGAGGGCUGUAACCUCGCCUGUUUUUUCCUUGUUGUUGCCUCCCAGCAGAAAUCUGUGAGUGUACUGGUCGCAUCAUCUGCAGGGAAGGACAUGGCUUACGCUUUGAGUAACUACUCUUCCUUGCAUGUAGUUGAACCUGGGAAGGGAAUGGUGCCAUAUGGAGGAGACUGUGCCCCUCUUGUCACCUAUAUGCUAGGGGAUCUGUAUUGAAUGUAGGGUACUGCAUUAUCUUGAUCUCAGGAGACAAAGAUACUCCUUAAACUGGAGUUAGCCUUACCUUAAAGGAUGAGAUCAUUUCUUUGACCAGCAAUCUCUUUCUUAUCAAAUGUCCUCUCUCUGGUCCACAACAGAAUAGGAAGCCCAUAGGGAACCUUCUGGUUUUAACUUGGGCUUUUGACGUUGCCUUUGAAGAAUAUCCUGGAGCUUGAUCCAGAACAGCCAAAUAUAAGAUGACAAUUCCCAUAAGGGGACCAGCCAGGAGCUGGGAGAGCAGGAACUUUGGCAAGGAGUCUGUGAUAUUAUUCCAGGCAGAGAGAGAAAACAAUACACUAAUUUUUUUUUUUUUCGAUCAAAGCAAACUGGAAAAUUUGGAACUGCACUGUUCUAAUUUGGAGUUCUUAGAAAAUAAUGGGCCUGGGAGUAUAGUCUGGGUGGCUUAAUUUGUUUCCAGCAAUACCUCUAAGGAAUGUUUCACACUGGUGGUUUAGUUUCUCUGCCCUGUGGCCCCAGCUACCUUUUUUUGUUUUCAUGCCUUUUGAUUCUCUUAUGUGUAACUGUUGUUUUUUGUUUUGUAUUGUUUUGUUUUGUUUUUUAAGGUGUAUGCAUCACUUAAAAAAAAAAAAACCUUAAUUUUUUUUUUUUUUUGUCUUUUUAGGGCCACACCCACGGCAUAUGGAAGUUCCCAGACUAGGGGUUGAAUCAGCACUGCAGCUGCCAGUCUAAGGUACAGCCACAGCCACAUGCUGGAUCUGAGCCUCAUCUUCGACCUAGGCCACAGCUCAUGGCAACGCCAGAUCCUUAACGCAGUGAGCAAGGCCAGGGAUCUAACCUGCAUCCUCAUGGAUACCAGUUGGGUUCGUUACUGCUGAGCCACAACGGUAACUCCCAAAUUAUUUUUUUUAUUAUGCCAAGAAAACAACAUGAGAUCUACCUUUCUGACAAGUUUUUGAGUGCACACUACUGUUAGCUAUGGGCAUGAAGUUGUACAGCAGAUCUCUAGAACCUUUUUUUGUGUUUGUGUAACUGAAACUUUGUACCAUUGAACAGCAGUUCCCCAUUUCUUCCUCCUCCAAGACCUGGCAACUACCAUUCUAUUCUGUUUCUAUGAAUUUACUAUUUUAGAUACCUCAUAUAAGUGGAAUCAUUCAGUAUUUCUCCAUCUGUGUCAGGGUGAUUGCAUUUAGCAUAAUUUCCUCCGGGUUCACCCAUGUUGUCACAUAUACCAGGAUUUCCUUCUUAUUUAAGGCUGAAUAAUAUUCCAUUGUAUGUAUAAACCACAUUUUCUUUAUCCAUUCAUCUAUCGUGGACAUUUAAAUUGUUUCUAUAUCUUGUCUGUUGUGACUAAUGCUGCAAUAAACAUGAGAGAACAGAUAGCUCUUUGAGAUCC
rnacentral:lncRNA from 1 species